rnacentral:rRNA from 1 species
UACGUAGGGCGCAAGCGUUAUCCGGAAUUAUUGGGCGUAAAGAGCUCGUAGGCGGUUUGUCGCGUCUGCCGUGAAAGUUCGGGGCUCAACCCUGAAUCGGCCGUCGAUACUCCCGUGCUUGAGCACUGUAGAGGCAGAUGGAAUUCCGGGUGUAGCGGUGGAAUGCGUAGAGAUCCGGAAGAACACCGGUGGCGAAGGCGGUCUGCUGGGCAGUAGCUGACACUGAGGCGCGACAGCGUGGGGAGCAAACAGG